rnacentral:pre_miRNA from 1 species
CAGCUCUUCCAUUUCCUGGAGUGAGCCACUGGGUGGCUCCCUACUUUGCUGGGCUGGGCCACCGGCCGGCUGCAUCACUUCCUGCGCGUGGCUGC